rfam:Populus trichocarpa isolate Nisqually-1 chromosome 4, whole genome shotgun sequence.
UCUAGAACUCGAGAUAUGGGCUGAACACUAAACAGUGUCUGGGCUGCAGGACAGAUUCGGACUUCUUUGUUGUUGCUGCAAUUUGGACUUCAAAACGGCCUUUUUAAAUCUUGGGCUCCACAUGAAAGUUGUAGGCCUAUGUCUUAUCUUUCCAUC